AAGGUUGUAGAUUCUGGCUGAUGAUGUCACUGACACAGAGUGAAAAAUGCAAAACAGGUAGUCUUAAAUAAGCUUUCUGGUGAGACCAGCUGCAUUUGGCUUGGCCAUGGCUUUACAAAGCACUCUGUGGGCAGUGUGGCUGGGGCUUCUCCUCAAUUCUCUGUGGAAGGUUGCAGAAAGCAAGGACCAAGUGUCUCAGCCUUCCACAGUGGCAUCUUCAGAGGGAGCUGUGGCGGAAAUCUUCUGUAAUCACUCUGUGUCCAAUGCUUACGAUUUCUUCUGGUACCUUCACUUCCCGGGACGUGCACCAAGACUCCUUGUUAAGGGCUCAAGGCCUUCUCAGCAGGGACGAUACAACAUGACCUAUGAACGGUUCUCUUCAUCACUGCUCAUCCUCCAAGUGCAGGGGGCAGAUGCUGCUGUUUACUACUGUGCUGUGGAGGGCACAGAGGCAGGGAACCCAUGAAGAGCUGAACAGAAACAGAGAUCAUGGCCUUUGCACAAGGCAAAACAGAGAUGAGCAAUAACUUUUCCCUUCUUAAUUCAGUGUUACCCAAGCUUUUUCAUUUGGCAUUGCUAUUAGAAAAAAAAUUGAGUCCAGACACACUGUAUAUUAGUGGAUGUCUAUAAAAAUAUGCUUUCAAAUUUUUUAUUAAUUUUAUUAAUUUUCUCUUGAGACAGGGUCUUGCUCUGUUACCCAAACUGGAGUGCGGUGGCAUGAUCAUAGCUCAUUUUAACUUAGAACUCCUGGGUUCAAGCGUAGCUGGAACUCAGCCUCCUGAGUAGCUGGGACUGUAGGCACGUGCCACCAUGCCCAGUGAAUUUCCCCCUUUUUGUAGACAUGAGUUCUCUCUCUGUUGUCCAGACUGGUCUCGAGCUCUUGGCUUCAAGUGAUCCUCCUGCCUCAGCCUCCAAAAGUGUUGGGAUUACAGGUGUGAACCAACAUACCUGGCCCCGAAAAUAUGGUUUAAAAGAGUGAUUAUUUCAAAUAGUCAUCUUGAUAUUUGAAACACUUUUGACUCACUUUUAUGAGAUCUGAUUACAUUAUUUUUGUUUUUCCCUCAUAAAAUGGCUGACGAUGAACUUCUGAUAGUAGUAAGAGGCAUGUCAACUCUUCCAUCUUCUUUUCUUUUUUAAAAAUUCAGACAGGCUUGAGUGCAGUGGCAUGAUCAUAGCUCACUGCAGCCUUUAAC